rnacentral:rRNA from 1 species
UACGAAGGGGGCUAGCGUUGCUCGGAAUCACUGGGCGUAAAGGGUGCGUAGGCGGGUCUUUAAGUCAGGGGUGAAAUCCUGGAGCUCAACUCCAGAACUGCCUUUGAUACUGAGGAUCUUGAGUUCGGGAGAGGUGAGUGGAACUGCGAGUGUAGAGGUGAAAUUCGUAGAUAUUGGGAAGAACACCGGUGGCGAAGGCGGCUCUCUGGACCGUAACUGACGCUGAGGCGCGAAAGCGUGGGGAGCAAACAGG